GUGCCUUGGCGGCAGCUACCAUGCAGUCGAGCGGCAGCGGGUCCUUCGGGAUGCCGGCGAGCGGCGGACGGGUGAGUAAUGCCUAGGAAUCUGCCUGGUAGUGGGGGAUAACGUUCGGAAACGGACGCUAAUACCGCAUACGUCCUACGGGAGAAAGUGGGGGAUCUUCGGACCUCACGCUAUCAGAUGAGCCUAGGUCGGAUUAGCUAGUUGGUGGGGUAAUGGCUCACCAAGGCGACGAUCCGUAACUGGUCUGAGAGGAUGAUCAGUCACACUGGAACUGAGACACGGUCCAGACUCCUACGGGAGGCAGCAGUGGGGAAUAUUGGACAAUGGGCGAAAGCCUGAUCCAGCCAUGCCGCGUGUGUGAAGAAGGUCUUCGGAUUGUAAAGCACUUUAAGUUGGGAGGAAGGGCAGCUAGUUAAUACCUGGUUGUUUUGACGUUACCAACAGAAUAAGCACCGGCUAACUUCGUGCCAGCAGCCGCGGUAAUACGAAGGGUGCAAGCGUUAAUCGGAAUUACUGGGCGUAAAGCGCGCGUAGGUGGUUCAGCAAGUUGGAGGUGAAAUCCCCGGGCUCAACCUGGGAACUGCCUCCAAAACUACUGAGCUAGAGUACGGUAGAGGGUAGUGGAAUUUCCUGUGUAGCGGUGAAAUGCGUAGAUAUAGGAAGGAACACCAGUGGCGAAGGCGACUACCUGGACUGAUACUGACACUGAGGUGCGAAAGCGUGGGGAGCAAACAGGAUUAGAUACCCUGGUAGUCCACGCCGUAAACGAUGUCGACUAGCCGUUGGGAUCCUUGAGAUCUUAGUGGCGAAGCUAACGCGAUAAGUCGACCGCCUGGGGAGUACGGCCGCAAGGUUAAAACUCAAAUGAAUUGACGGGGGCCCGCACAAGCGGUGGAGCAUGUGGUUUAUUUCGAAGCAACGCGAGGAACCUUACCUGGCCUUGACAUGCUGAGAACUUUCCAGAGAUGGAUUGGUGCCUUCGGGAACUCAGACACAGGUGCUGCAUGGCUGUCGUCAGCCCGUGUCGUGAGAUGU
rnacentral:rRNA from 1 species